rnacentral:lncRNA from 1 species
GAAGCGGGGAGGAGUGAACAAGCGGCCUGGAGGGUUUCGAUACACUUGGAUUGGAGCAGGCCUGUUAAAUCAGAGCAGAUGGCCACAUUAGCCCUGCGAAAGAGCGACAACUCUCCCUGUUCAUCAGCGGCCCCCCAUUCAGAUUCAGCCUUCCAAUUUUCUCUGCAAGCCUUUGACAGCUGCUCCCAGGGAAAUUGCACUCGCGUGGUGAGCUGGGGUUAGAGAAACGUAGCCCUCACCUCCUUUUCAUUACCAAUAACCACGCACUCCUUUUGUCUUCUAAAGCAAUUUCAUAGCCGGUGCACAAACACGGAGCCAUCAAAGGAGCCUUUCACUGGGCUGGCACAAGAGACAAUGGGAAGCAGCUACACCUUCAUCAGCAAAGAGACCCAUUUCCAUUUUGAUAACAAAUGUCUUUGGCUCCCCAUCGAACACCCUGCAUCUUGUUCUGCCUCUGUUUUCUCUCUCCUUCCCUGAGCCAGCGAGAGAGUCCGCCAAGCAGCAUGACUGAGGGCAGAGCACGGGGUAAUUCAUCCUGCAACCAUCUUCCAGCAGCUAGCUUCAAAUCUGAACCUGAUGGCUCUCCCUGCAGAUGCAGAGCCAGAAAGUUUGCCUGUAGGGCUGUUCAUUUUCCUUGGCUCCCCUCACUGCCCUGGGAUUUGGCCAGGUGCAUUCAAGAGGUGAAGGUCUGAACUCCCUGGGCCGUAGACAACGCAAGAGGCAAGACACAUCCUGAACACUGGCUCUAUGGAGGGCAGCUGCAGCUUACAGUAGCUCAAUAGUGUCCACAGCAGCUAUAUUGACUGGCAAGAAAAGAAAGGGAGUAAGGAGAGACGCAUGGCAAAGCUGACAGCACAUUCUGGAUAUAAAACCCCCGACUGCAAGACAUUCAGGUGACAACAGUAUGUGAAAGAUCCCUUCACUGGUCUAGACCCUUCCAGGGUCACCGUGACUCAUCCGCUUUUUGAAACAAACAAGUCUGUGCAAAAUAACGUUAAAGGCAAACACUGGCCCUCUCCCCACAAAAAUCCCAAAGAAAAAGAUGAUGAUGAAAUCCAGCUGUUUGUACUACAAGACUUAAUAAAUGUUGACAUUUUUACA